CAGCACUUUGGGAGGCCGAGGCAGGUGGAUCACCUGAGGUCAAGAGUUCGAGAUCAGACUGGCCAACAUGGUGAAACCCCAUCUCUACUAAAAAUACAAAAAAAUUAGCUGGGUAUGGUGGCAUGCACCUGUAACCCCAGCUACUCUGGAGGGUGAGGCAGAAGAAUCGCUUGAACCCGGGAGGUGGAGGUUGCAGUGAGCGGACAUCGUGCCACUGCACUCCAGCCUGGGUGACAGAGGGAGACUCCAUCUCAAAAAAAAAAAAAAAAAAAGAUUCAAAAGCCUAAGCCCAUACCCACUAAAAAGAAAAAGCCCGGCCAGGCACGGUGGCU
rnacentral:lncRNA from 1 species